rnacentral:rRNA from 1 species
ACUCAAAUGAAUUGACGGGGACCCGCACAAGCGGUGGAGCAUGUGGUUUAAUUCGACGCAACGCGAAGAACCUUACCUGGACUAGAAUGUGAGGGAAUGUCGGGUAAUGCCGGCAGUCCGGGAAACCGGACCCAAAACAAGGUGCUGCAUGGCUGUCGUCAGCUCGUGUCGUGAGAUGUUGGGUUAAGUCCCGCAACGAGCGCAACCCUUAUCAACAGUUGCCAUCAUUAAGUUGGGAACUCUGUUGAGACUGCCGUUGAUAAAACGGAGGAAGGUGGGGAUGAUGUCAAGUCAUCAUGGCCUUUAUGUUCAGGGCUACACACGUGCUACAAUGGACGGUACAAAACGUCGCAAUCUCGUAAGAGGGAGCUAAUCGCGAAAACCGUUCUCAGUUCGGAUUGAAGUCUGCAACUCGACUUCAUGAAGUUGGAAUCGCUAGUAAUCGCAAAUCAGCAUGUUGCGGUGAAUACGUUCCCGGGUCUUGUACACACCGCCCGU